ACAAUGAUACUCCUGCCCAGCCACAGCCGCACGCAAUGGGGGCAGCUCGGAGAGAUCCUCGGAGGGGUGAGAUUCCCGUGA
rnacentral:ncRNA from 1 species